CUUAAAAAAUAUAUGACCAUUUACACUGUUAAUAGAAAGUACAGAUUUUCCUUUUUUUUUUAUUCACUAGGCGCUGUCACAACCUUACCCUAAAUUCAGACGGAGAGCUGAUGCUACGCCGGACUAAAUUGCAAUUUGGUGCGGCAAAGAACGACUCGCGUCACAUCAGAUAGCUCAUUUUGUUCAUCAUGUGCAUGCUCGUAUUUCGAGUUGGCCUGCCCAUUUGGAGAGCACUGUGGAGACAAGAAACACCAAGUUGUUCACACAAGAUGCUGUUCCGUGCUCCCGAGUCCGCACUUGGAGCACGAAAGCACGGUAGUUCGGAACAUUUUGUUCAUCAGUGGCGACAUCUGACCCAUUACCUUCAACCUCUGACGUCCAUCUCUAACUGGCCUCGGAAGACAAGAAAGCCCAGGAACUGGAACGCUUGGGAACACGAACAGACAAGGAGUGAGUAGCUUGGGUGCAUGCCAGUGAGUCGGCCACUACAACUUCCACAUUCCCACAGGAAAAUUCUGCGACGUCCACCACGAAUGACGUCUAACUUGGUUCAGCCAAUCCCGUAAUGGCGGGAGCAAUAAACGGUCCCGUAUAAGAGCAAGACACGUUCUUGGGAUCUCUCUUCUGCUUUUUCUGUCUCUUCUGCUUCUUCUCUUCGACGCACCCUUUUUGGCCAUUCGCUUCGGCUCAUCUGCUCCGAGACUCGGACAGAGGCUGAAUGCUGCACAGCGCACUACCAGGCCUACAGACACACCCAGUUACCUCGCGGUAACUUUGUGGCCUAUAGCGAGUGGAAACUGGGAACGCUACAUCAGUUUACCCCUGCAAAGCUCACCAAAGAACAACAGCAACAAACUUUCCACCCGGAAAAGGGACCAAUGAUCAUCCUUCCAGCAACCGAGCGGACCAGACAACAACGCGCGGCUAAGACGCCCCAGCCUGCGCAUCUCUCCAGGACACACAUUCACAGCACCAUCGCGGCUCCUACAAGGACAGCACGUCUUUUGGAUCCAAUGUGUAUGGACUCAGUAAGAGAACAAACAUUCAGGCAGAGCCAGUGUUUAGUUUAGUCUUAACUGUUUUUGUGAAUCUGUGUUUCCAUAUUUGCUGUCUUAUCAUUGGAAUGUAUUUUGUUAGCUAUAUAUGUACGUGAAUUGAUUCGCUGUCUUUUGCGCAUAUAUAGAGUAAACUACGCAAGUAGUCUUCUCACAGCUAACAAUAACUAACACACCCAGAACUCUAGCUUACCCAAGCUAGCUACUCCCACUUUUACCUUUCCUUUGUUCAAGCGACACACGCACACACACAUACCCAACUAAAUUUCAUUACUAACUUCCCGUUAGUUUAUCAGUUCUGUGUUUUACAUUUGUUUAAUAAAUAUAUUUUAUUAAACCCCGGUGUCCAUUUUGGAAUCACAUAGACAUGAGAGCCGAGUUAAAGCAGUCUUUCGAAGAACUUCCAACCUUCAGGUUAUCGGUAUGUUUAAUCAUUAAUAUUGGUUAUUUUAAUUAUUAAUUAAAAUACUAAAUUUGUGGUUAGAUAUUUCUGAUAAUAGUAAUUUUAUGAGACUGAUUACUUUUUGCAGUUAUACUGCUACACAACGUUUAACUGGCGCCCCGGUUUCGUAGAGAGUAAAAUCCCUGCGUUAUUUGGCGGCCCGUGCGAGGACCCUACAGCAGGUAAAACAGACAAAGGUCAUUAGCAGGCAAACAGGAGCAUCAGACAAGAAAAACGCUGGAGAGAUGGCAGGAGCACAUUACAAUCUGACACUGAACAUACGAAACAGACCGGUAUAUAUAGCACAGAUAACAGGGGGAAACGAGAAUCAGGUGUGGACACUAAGAAGGAAGUAACAACAGGUGAAACCAAUGAAUGACAAUGUAUGAACAGAAAAUGGACUAUGGAAAGUACCGAACAGGGCAAAGCACAAUUCACUAAAGUGAUGUACAACAAACUAUGUGUGUGUAUGCGUAUGCAUGUUAGCUUUGGCCGCACGCUUGCACAGCCAUGUGGGAAGGUUGGAUGUUCUACUGCAUGUGUGCAGAUAUACACUUGCUCAAGGAAAACAAAGAAGCUAAGAUGGAGGGAGGUUUGAAAUUAGCUGGAGCUAGUGAGGAAACUGGCGGCACGGAUGGUGCAGUGGGUAGCACUGUCGCCUCACAGCAAGGAGGUCCUGGGUUCGAAUCCCCGUUGGCCGGGGCCUGCGGAGUUUGCAUGUUCUCCCUGUGUCUGCGUGGGUUUCCUCUGGGUACUCCGGUUUCCUCCCAUAGUCCAAAGACAUGCAGGUUAGGCUGAUUGGAGAGUCUAAAUUGCCCAAAGGUAUGAGUGUGUGAGUGAAUGGUGUGUGUGCCCUGAGUUACCUGGUUAUCAAGCUAUGACUGUUUUCUGACUAACAUUUCGUAAUCCAUUCAGCCAUUUUUGAGAAAACUAUGUUUUUGCCGUUCCAUUUUGAUGCAGAUUUGUUAGAAAGCAUUAGACACUUUCUAAUGUCUAAAGCAUCAGUCAUUUUCUUCACAUUUUGUAUUUUUUUUAAAUCCGUUUUAAUAGAAAAAAAUAAGCUUUUCUGAUCAUUUACGUAUCGGGAUAAAAAGAUAUGCAGAUGUUUUGUAUUUGUAUAGAUUUGGGAACACUUGAGGACAUCUGGGUUCAGUUUUGGGAAAACUCGUAGAAUUUGA